rnacentral:rRNA from 1 species
AGGACGAACGCUGGCGGCGUGCUUCAUACAUGCAAGUCGAACGAGGUCCAUCGAGUGGCAACACUCGUGAAGACCUAGUGGCGAACGGGUGAGUAACACGUGAGGAACCUGCCCCGAUCUCUGGGAUAACAGUGGGAAACCGCUGCUAAUACCAGAUGGGCUCGGAUGACGACAUCGUCGACCGAGGAAAGCUUUUGCGGACCGGGAGGGCCUCGCGGCCUAUCAGCUUGUUGGUGGGGUAACGGCCUACCAAGGCAUCGACGGGUAGCUGGUCUGAGAGGACGACCAGCCACACUGGGACUGAGACACGGCCCAGACUCCUACGGGAGGCAGCAGUAGGGAAUCUUGCGCAAUGGGCGAAAGCCCUGACGCAGCAACGCCGCGUGGGGGAUGAAGGCCCUCGGGUUGUAAACCCCUUUCAGCAGGAACGAAUCUGACGGUACCUGCAGAAGAAGGUCCGGCCAACUACGUGCCAGCCGCCGC